rnacentral:rRNA from 1 species
AUUGAACGCUGGCGGCAGGCCUAACACAUGCAAGUCGAGCGGAGCGGCGGACGGGCGAGUGAUGCCUAGGUAUCUGCCUGGCAGUUGGGGAUAACGUCCGGCUACGGGCGCUAAUACCGCAUACUCUCAGUUGAGUCUAGGUCGGAUUAGCUAGUUGGUGGGGUAAAGGCUGACCAAGGCGACGAUCCGUAACUGGUCUGAGAGGAUGAUCAGUCACACUGGAACUGAGACACGGCCCAGACUCCUACGGGAGGCAGCAGUGGGGAAUAUUGGACAAUGGGCGAAAGCCUGAUCCAGCCAUGCCGCGUGUAUGAAGAAGGUCUUCGGAUUGUAAAGCACUUUCAGUUGGGAGGCGUUACCAACAGAAUAAGCACCGGCUAACUCCGUGCCAGCAGCCGCGGUAAUAC